UUGAACGCUGGCGGCAUGCUUUACCCCUGCCAGUCGAACGGUAACAGGCCUUCGGGUGCUGACGAGUGGCGAACGGGUGAGUAAUGCAUCGGAACGUGCCCAGAGGUGGGGGAUAACGCAGCGAAAGCUGUGCUAAUACCGCAUGUGAUCUGAGGAUGAAAGCGGGGGACCAGGCAGCAAUGUUUGGCCUCGCGCCUUUGGAGCGGCCGAUGUCAGAUUAGGUAGUUGGUGGGGUAAAGGCCUACCAAGCCGACGAUCUGUAGCUGGUCUGAGAGGACGACCAGCCACACUGGGACUGAGACACGGCCCAGACUCCUACGGGAGGCAGCAGUGGGGAAUUUUGGACAAUGGGCGCAAGCCUGAUCCAGCAAUGCCGCGUGCGGGAAGAAGGCCUUCGGGUUGUAAACCGCUUUUGUACGGAACGAAAAGGCUCUGGCUAAUACCUGGGGCUGAUGACGGUACCGUAAGAAUAAGCACCGGCUAACUACGUG
rnacentral:rRNA from 1 species